GCCGGGCAUGGUGGUGCAUGCCUGUAAUCCCAGCUACUGGGGAGGCUGAGGCAGGAGAAUUGCUUGAACCCAGGAGGCGGAGGUUGCAGUGAGCCAAGAUCACGCCAUUGCACUCCAGCCUAGGUGACAGAGCGAGACUCUGUCUCAA
rnacentral:SRP_RNA from 1 species